AUUGAACGCUGGCGGCAGGCCUAACACAUGCAAGUCGGGCGAGCGGCGGACGGGUGAGUAAUGUAUGGGGACUGCCUGAUGGAGGGGGAUAACUACUGGAAACGGUAGCUAAUACCGCAUACCAUCAGAUAACCCAUAUGGGAUUAGCUUGUAGGUGAGGUAACGGCUCACCUAGGCGACGAUCCCUAGCUGGUCUGAGAGGAUGAUCACCAACCCGUGUACUGGGAGACGGGCAACCCUCUGCGGGAGACAGGAGUGAGGAUUCUUCGAGAAGGGGCAGAGGCGUGAUGCACCCAAUCCGGGUGUAUGUGGAGCACCUUCGCGUCGUAAAGGAUGUCCAGUUGGGAGGCGUUACCGACCGAAGAAGCACCGGCUAACUCCGUGCCAGCAGCCGCGGUAAUAC
rnacentral:rRNA from 1 species